rnacentral:rRNA from 1 species
AAAAGAACCCCGGCGAGGGGAGUGAAAAAGAACCUGAAACCGUGUACGUACAAGCAGUGGGAGCACCCUUUGGGGUGUGACUGCGUACCUUUUGUAUAAUGGGUCAGCGACUUAUAUUCUGUAGCAAGGUUAACCGAAUAGGGGAGCCGGAGGGAAACCGAGUCUUAAUUGGGCGUUAAGUUGCAGGGUAUAGACCCGAAACCCGGUGAUCUAGCCAUGGGCAGGUUGAAGGUUGGGUAACACUAACUGGAGGACCGAACCGACUAAUGUUGAAAAAUUAGCGGAUGACCUGUGGCUGGGGGUGAAAGGCCAAUCAAACCGGGAGAUAGCUGGUUCUCCCCGAAAGCUAUUUAGGUAGCGCCUCGUGAAUUCAUCUCCGGGGGUAGAGCACUGUUUCGGCUAGGGGGCCAUCCCGGCUUACCAACCCGAUGCAAACUGCGAAUACCGGAGAAUGUUAUCACGGGAGACACACGGCGGGUGCUAACGUCCGUCGUGAAGAGGGAAACAACCCAGACCGCCAGCUAAGGUCCCAAAGUCAUGGUUAAGUGGGAAACGAUGUGGGAAGGCCCAGACAGCCAGGAUGUUGGCUUAGAAGCAGCCAUCAUUUAAAGAAAGCGUAAUAGCUCACUGGUCGAGUCGGCCUGCGCGGAAGAUGUAACGGGGCUAAACCAUGCACCGAAGCUGCGGCAGCGACGCUGAUGCGUUGUUGGGUAGGGGAGCGUUCUGUAAGCCUGCGAAGGUGGCCUGUGAGGGUUGCUGGAGGUAUCAGAAGUGCGAAUGCUGACAUAAGUAACGAUAAAGCGGGUGAAAAGCCCGCUCGCCGGAAGACCAAGGGUUCCUGUCCAACGUUAAUCGGGGCAGGGUGAGUCGACCCCUAAGGCGAGGCCGAAAGGCGUAGUCGAUGGGAAACGGGUUAAUAUUCCCGUACUUGGUGUUACUGCGAAGGGGGGACGGAGAAGGCUAUGUUGGCCGGGCGACGGUUGUCCCGGUUUAAGCGUGUAGGUGUGUGUUCCAGGUAAAUCCGGUUCACUUUAACACUGAGGCGUGAUGACGAGGCACUACGGUGCUGAAGCAACAAAUGCCCUGCUUCCAGGAAAAGCCUCUAAGCAUCAGGUAACAUCAAAUCGUACCCCAAACCGACACAGGUGGUCAGGUAGAGAAUACCAAGGCGCUUGAGAGAACUCGGGUGAAGGAACUAGGCAAAAUGGUGCCGUAACUUCGGGAGAAGGCACGCUGACACGUAGGUGAAGUGAUUUACUCAUGGAGCUGAAGUCAGUCGAAGAUACCAGCUGGCUGCAACUGUUUAUUAAAAACACAGCACUGUGCAAACACGAAAGUGGACGUAUACGGUGUGACGCCUGCCCGGUGCCGGAAGGUUAAUUGAUGGGGUCAGCGCAAGCGAAGCUCCUGAUCGAAGCCCCGGUAAACGGCGGCCGUAACUAUAACGGUCCUAAGGUAGCGAAAUUCCUUGUCGGGUAAGUUCCGACCUGCACGAAUGGCGUAAUGAUGGCCAGGCUGUCUCCACCCGAGACUCAGUGAAAUUGAACUCGCUGUGAAGAUGCAGUGUACCCGCGGCAAGACGGAAAGACCCCGUGAACCUUUACUAUAGCUUGACACUGAACAUUGAGCCUUGAUGUGUAGGAUAGGUGGGAGGCUUUGAAGUGUGGACGCCAGUCUGCAUGGAGCCGGCCUUGAAAUACCACCCUUUAAUGUUUGAUGUUCUAACGUGGACCCGUGAUCCGGGUUGCGGACAGUGUCUGGUGGGUAGUUUGACUGGGGCGGUCUCCUCCUAAAGAGUAACGGAGGAGCACGAAGGUUGGCUAAUCCUGGUCGGACAUCAGGAGGUUAGUGCAAUGGCAUAAGCCAGCUUGACUGCGAGCGUGACGGCGCGAGCAGGUGCGAAAGCAGGUCAUAGUGAUCCGGUGGUUCUGAAUGGAAGGGCCAUCGCUCAACGGAUAAAAGGUACUCCGGGGAUAACAGGCUGAUACCGCCCAAGAGUUCAUAUCGACGGCGGUGUUUGGCACCUCGAUGUCGGCUCAUCACAUCCUGGGGCUGAAGUAGGUCCCAAGGGUAUGGCUGUUCGCCAUUUAAAGUGGUACGCGAGCUGGGUUUAGAACGUCGUGAGACAGUUCGGUCCCUAUCUGCCGUGGGCGCUGGAGAACUGAGGGGGGCUGCUCCUAGUACGAGAGGACCGGAGUGGACGCAUCACUGGUGUUCGGGUUGUCAUGCCAAUGGCACUGCCCGGUAGCUAAAUGCGGAAGAGAUAAGUGCUGAAAGCAUCUAAGCACGAAACUUGCCCCGAGAUGAGUUCUCCCUGAGACUUAGAGUCUCCUGAAGGAACGUUGAAGACGACGACGUUGAUAGGCCGGGUGUGUAAGCGCAGCGAUGCGUUGAGCUAACCGGUACUAAUG